rnacentral:rRNA from 1 species
AUUGAACGCUGGCGGCAUGCCUUACACAUGCAAGUCGAACGGUAACAGGUCUUCGGAUGCUGACGAGUGGCGAACGGGUGAGUAAUACAUCGGAACGUGCCUAGUAGUGGGGGAUAACUACUCGAAAGAGUGGCUAAUACCGCAUGAGAUCUACGGAUGAAAGCAGGGGAUCGAAAGACCUUGUGCUACUAGAGCGGCCGAUGGCAGAUUAGGUAGUUGGUGGGAUAAAAGCUUACCAAGCCGACGAUCUGUAGCUGGUCUGAGAGGACGAUCAGCCACACUGGGACUGAGACACGGCCCAGACUCCUACGGGAGGCAGCAGUGGGGAAUUUUGGACAAUGGGCGAAAGCCUGAUCCAGCAAUGCCGCGUGCAGGAUGAAGGCCUUCGGGUUGUAAACCGCUUUUGUACGGAACGAAAAGCCCUGGGUUAAUACCCUGGGGUCAUGACGGUACCGUAAGAAUAAGCACCGGCUAACUACGUGCCAGCCGCCGCAGUAAUAC